UUGGUUGAUCUUUGACCUUAAUACAUUAAAUGAUAAAUAUUCGCUUUACGUAUUAUUAUCUAAUGGCGAAUACUGUCAGAAAAAAUAAGCCAAGUGAGAAAUCACCUCCAUGUAAAAUUAACUAGGUUAUCGAUAACAAGUGGGGAAAACAUUGUUCAUAAUACAGUGUGUAAUGAAAAGUUGUGUAUUGAAAUCUCAAACUUGUAAUCUAGCUUGUAAUGAUGGUGUUUGAGGAAUUUGACAUUGCAGAGCAUUAAAGUGGUAAGUAUUUAUAUAUGUAAAAACUAUAUUAAAAAA
rnacentral:lncRNA from 1 species